AGUCGAAACCGGCUUCGGCCGGUCCACCAGAAAUGACCUACUGGUGCUGAUGAGACAGGUUGCG
rnacentral:hammerhead_ribozyme from 1 species